rnacentral:rRNA from 1 species
CGACAGGGAGCGAAUCCCAAACCACGUCUCAGUUCGGAUCGGAGUCUGCAACCCGACUCCGUGAAGCUGGAUUCGCUAGUAAUCGCGCAUCAGCCAUGGCGCGGUGAAUACGUUCCCGGGCCUUGUACACACCGCCCGUCAAGCCAUGGGAGCCGGGGGUACCUGAAGUCCGUAACCGCGAGGAUCGGCCUAGGGUAAAACUGGUGACUGGGGCUAAGUCGUAACAAGGUAAC